CUUUUGGCUUUCACUCUUUCCCAUAAACAGACACCCGCAACACCAGACACUUCUGCUUCAGCUACCACCAACACAGAAGUGAUUCCUUCUUCUUCGUCGUCGUCUUCUUCUCCACGGUCCGGUAAACUCACCUACGAUGUGUUCCUGAGUUUCAGAGGUGAAGAUACCCGCAAGAAUUUCACGGACCAUCUCUACACUGCUCUCUGGCAGAAAGGGAUACACACGUUUCGAGAUGAUGAAGAGCUUGUGAGGGGGGAAUCGAUUGCUCCCAAUCUCUUGAAAGCAAUCGAAGAAUCAAGAUAUGUCAUUGUUGUCUUCUCACCAAACUACGCCGAUUCUGCAUGGUGUUUGGAUGAGGUUGCCGAGGUCGCCGAUUGCAUGAAGGAAAUGGGAACAAAAGUCCUUCCAGUGUUCUACCAUGUUGAUCCGUCGGAGGUACGAAGACAAACAGGAGAGCACUUUGGGAAAGCAUUUGAGAAGCAUCAGAAGAGGUAUAAAAAGGAACCAAACAAAGUACAGAGGUGGAAAGACGCUCUUUUCCAAGUAGGCAAUCUCUCUGGAUGGCACCUGCAAGAUGGGUAAGCUUUCUGUCUAUCUAUAUUCUGUACUACAGUUGAUAAUUUUUAUAUGACCCUUUUUAUUACGCCAGUUGUNNNNNNNNNNNNNNNNNNNNCAGUGAUAGCCCUCAUGUAAAGGUUCAAAGAUAUGGUUUCCGUAUUGUGUACCAGGAAGAUAUACAAGGGUUUGCUGAUACGAUUAUCAGGUGUAUGCAGAGGGAUGAUUCUCUUAAAUCUUACGAUAAGUUGGUAGUAGAGAAAUGGAUGCAGUUGCUACGAUUGCAAGGUGCCCGUUUAGAGAGAAUGACCAAACGAGAUUCCAGAACCGCACAAGCAACCUUCAGAAAUUGGGUCUCUCUUUCUCUCUAAUUUAUUAUUAAUAUUCUUUUCUUCUUCUAUUUUCCCUAUCUAUAUAUUGACAUUUGAACUUAUAUUUACAGGACUGGUCUGACCCUCGUUCUGCUUAUUGUUUGUUCGAUAGAGUCUCGAAGUUGAAAUGGUUCGUGCCUUUCAUCAACCAAGGAAACUCUGCCGAAAUCCAACUGCCUCCGAAUGUGUUUGAUAAUCAUAAUUGGUUGGGGUUUGCUGUAUGUGUUCAGUGCUCCCGCUCUUCUUCUUCUUCAGAGGAUGUUGUGCUUGCUUAUCGACUGGACUCUGAUGUUGCUUGGCACGGCUUAUUUGAUUACAAGAUGCGAGCAGUUAUGAAGCUACCCGAGACACCUAAAGACGAAUUAUAUGAUGCGACUAUGUUCGUUUAUAUACCGCGCACUAAAGCUCUUAUGAGUAAGAUGUGGAGGCAAUGCAAAUUGGCCAGGAUAACUGUGUGGUUCUCCAACCCAUGUGCAGCAAUAGUGCAUACUUGUGCCCUUCGUCUACUAUUUAAGGACGACAUUGAACAUCUUGUUGAGACACUCACUGUUGCAUCUGACGAAAACCGUUAUUUCCUCGGUCUCACUGCUGUUUGAUAGGGGAAUUAGACAACAGUUCUCAGCCGUAGUGUGAAAGAGCAUCCGAUCGAUGACAAAUUGUGUCAUCUGAAGUACCAGUUUGGAAGGAUUCUUGAUCUUUAUGUUGUCUCAAUGCAGAAACAACGACACAUGAGCUGUCUUCAGCGCUCGCCAAGCACAUUUCUCCUCAUUUUGUGCUGUAUUUAUCCACUCUCAUAAUACAGUCAUAUGCAAAUUGAUCGAAGCAAAAUAAAGAUUUGUUUAAUCUAUAUGUCGUCUAAUGAGACACUUAUGUUGUCUGAUAGUGUUCAUUUAACUUCAAUCAGUCUGUUGUUGGAUAGGAUAACUUAUGUUGUUUGAUUGAUACUGUCUUUAGCCCUGGACCUUGAUAUUUUUUUGAAAUGCCAGCCCUGCCUGGCCUGAAAAUUUGAAGAAAAAUGGUUUGUGGCUCUGCCCCCCGGUUCGGGAGCGCAUUGGUUUUCUAGCUGAAUCACAGAAAUUGAGUGAACCACUGUAAAUCUUUAUUUGUUUGCUCCGCUUCUGCACAAUACGUGGUUGAAGAGCUUCAAGUUCCUCCAACAUAGCUUUUAGCAAAGUAAAGCGUCUGAAACUAUGAGAAGGUUUCAUAUCUUGACUUGAGAGCCUGCGAACGGACACCAACGAGUAUCAAAAUAUGAUCAUGACAAACUCUUAGUCAUGUAGCCAUACAAAUAUAGCCCUAGUAUUUCUCCUUUUUAUUACAAGAGAAAACUACACCAACAGUGCCUCAACUCUUAUGUCCCGGUUAGUUUGAUACCUAAACUUACAAAGCUGUCAAUGUAGUACCUAAACUUACGUUAUCCUCUUUGGCAUUCACCUAGAAAGAAAAUGCAUAAGUAUGUCAUGUACAAGUGAGAUUACAGAUGAAAAUAUUAAAUGAAGUGUAGAUAUGAAUAUGGAAGGUGUAGAAAAAACAUUGAGAAUUAAUCUAGUAUAAACAACCUUGGAUGAAAAGGGUCUAAUGAGUUCAAGUCUGAGAUUAUAAUGCUAACUACAGUCUCCCAGUUGGUUGGCCUUACAGACUAUUGAUUGAAGGGAAAUGAUAGGCUUAUUGUCUAUGAACAUUCGUCUCAAGGAAUUCCUAGUAGGCUUUGCUGCUUGUAUGAACUAAAACUCAAAACAUCUCCUUCAUCUUACAACAAGGUUUGAAUACCUACUAUGUUUAAUUGUUUACCCAACCAAAGUCAGCAACUUUAAUGAAAAUUCUGAGACCAGUACAAGUAACAUUUCCGGCUACAAUUGCAUAGGUAUUAAACCAAGCAAACAGAAGCUAAUGCUCAACUUUCUAUUUUCAAGUGGCUUAUAUCUUACUAUUUUCAAGUUAACAGAUACUUAACGAUUGUCAGGAAUAAUCACAGGCAAGAAUUCUAACCUACUGCAAUGCCAGACCUUAUAAAACAAGCCUUAUAUCUCCGACUCAAACUCAUUUACACCCUUAUCAGCCACCAUUUCCAUAAUCCAAUUCUGAUACAAAGUCCUUGUGACCAAAAUAGUUGGAUAUCUACCCAAUUGGAAUAUGACCGAACACAAACUACUGGGUCAGGCUUAUUCAACUAAAGCAAGUAUCUUGAACACAUCUGUCGUACCAAAACUAGGCUUAAUGUCAAACCCAUGACCACUUCCCCAAAAUCCCACAGAUGAAUUAAGCAACAGAUUCAUAAAAAUAAUCGAAAGCAUAGAGAGUGAGAUUGAUGGAAAGCGUACAUACUGGGGGAACAUAGCCUCGAGCAGCAGCGAGAUGAGAUUUGAAAGACAAGGCACGCCUGCUCCUGCUGCUGCUACGUAGGACCAUAGGGGAAUAGUUGGCCCCUGAAAACUCAAGAAGAGGUUGAGGUUUUGAGGAGAAAGAAGCAGAAAGUCGAGGAGGAGGUAUGACCAAGUAGUUGUUUGGAAUAAACAACGAAUUCGCCAUUACAGUUUGCUCUGCUUUUUACGAGUUUAACAAACUCUCCGCUUCUUCUAUCUCCGCCGAUACCUCACCCUCAGCGGACAAACUGAAAAAACUAUAAAUAAAUAAUUGGUGGGCCUAACCGGACUGGGCCCAAAGCGAGUAAAAGAAAAAAUAUAAAGAAAAAAAAUUCUAUGGGUUAGGCAGACACGUGCUACGUCUAGACGGUAACAAGUGUUACAAUCCUAAUGGGUCGGGGGUCCACCAUUAAAUAAGAAAAAGAAAAUAAAACUAAACUACAGCCCUGUGGGUGAGGCGGACACGUGCUACGUCUAGACGGUGACAGGUGUUAUGGGCCCAAACGGGCGAGGGGUCCACACCUUUUGAAAAUGAAGAGAAAUGAAAAAAAGUAAAGAUUGAAUCAGUUCUAAGUGUCAUGGGCUGAAAUCUUCCAAAUCACCGCCGCCGCCGUGACGGUCUACACCGGCGGAUCUCCGAUUUCACCUCGGUAAGGGUAACCUCACGCUCCGGCGGGUCUAUUAAGUGCUUGUGUUGCUGGCAUGUUGUGUGUCUGUGUUGCUUGCUGUUUUGUAGAUAUUGUACAUUUGAGUGAACAUUAUUCGAUUAAGUCGAGUGAGGUGUUAGUUGAUAGGUAAGCUUGUUCUUCUUCCACUUCUUUUCUAUGCAGUGCUGAAAUUGGUCUGCUCUUGAAAUACCACUUUAUUUCAGUUUGAAAUUUCAUCACAGUGAAAUCCUAAGUUAAGAUAGUAUAUCAGGAUUUUCAGUCCUAAAUUAGAACCAAUCAGUUAUUGAUCCUAAAUGUUUCACACUGAAAUUCUGCUCUAUCUCUUAUAUAUGUAUUCUACACUGGAUACUUUUUAGAAUGAACCUCUCUAUUCGAUCACCCCUCUUAAGCAUCUACUUGCACCUUACAGUUAGUUUUCUACAACUAGCAUCAUUCAUAAAAAUGUGACUUGCGUUUCUCACAUUGCAUUUCUGAUUCUUCUAAUUACAAAUUUAGAAUGAAGAAAAAGAUUGCUGUAUAUUAUGUUCCGUUAUCUUUAUUUACUUGUUGCCUCUUUUUCUAUAAUCUUCAUUAUCUGUAUCUACUUGUUCCUUUAACUUAAACAUAGAAGAUAUAUGAUGAUUAUUCAUGACUUUCCAGGAUCCAUAGUUAUUCAAGAAAUUUUAGAAAAGAGAUUUUCACCGAGCUACAUCAAAUAAUCUCAAUAUUUGAGGGUUCAGUUGGCAUAGAGGUUGUGGCUGGCCAAUGAAAUCUUCCAUGUUCUUGAUCAUAAUAAGGUAACAAGAUGCUAUAAAUAUAAAGUCCUGAUGGAACUAAUGUUCUGUUUUUCCACUAUGCAAUAUCUUGUGCAGUAGCUAAUUAAGUUUUGCUCUUUUUUGUUUACUAGGCAACGACUGCAGUUGAAAGCUUAUCCUUCCAACGAAUGACAAUGUGGUGCACAUACUUAAUGACUCCUUCUCAAAUAUGGACAGAUUACAAUUACUUAAAAUUGGAAAUGUGAAGUUUUGUGGAAACAUCAAUUCUCUUUCUCGUGAGUUGCAGUUUCUGCAAUGGCAUGAUUGUCCAUUUGAUUCUUUCCCAUCAGACUUUGCACCUGCUAAACUUGUUGAGCUUCAUCUGCAUUCAAGCCGCAUAAUACAUCUAUGGAGGGGGGAAAAGGUAAGACCUUAAUCAACAUCCAUGUUCAUACAUUCAAUAUUAGUACAUCCUAUUUUUUGGUAUUUAAGCUUUCAAGUUAACAUCAAGUACAAUGGGUGAUAUGUUAACAAACAAAUCAUACCACAUUCUCACCUUAGGAAAUAGAAGAAAUAAACAGUAGGAAAAAUGAAUUUUGCAGCUUAAAUUUUAGAUAUUAUAUAAGAUCCCUAGCUAGCUAGCUAGUCGUGGUUUAAGGCAUACCACUUGAUCAUUUUACUUGCAUGUCAAAUUUUCUCUAGUAUAACGUACAUUUUAUUGAUCAAUUGUUUUCAAUCUUAGACAUUAAUGGAUGUACUUAAAGUGCUUUAUUCGACAUCUUUGUUAAACCACCAAGCAAUUGACUGGAUUUUUUUUUUUUUCAAUCCAUCACUCAUAUUUGUCUUGUGUUUUAGAUAGAUAAAAAUUAUAUGCAGAAGGAUUGUAUAAUAAAUAUUAAAUCACAUGAUUAUGAUCAUCUUCUGAAAUGUACUAGGGGUGGAGUAUGCUACGGCAAAUUAAUUUGAGUGGUACACAACACUUGAUAUCUACUCCAGACUUCAGUGAGGUUCCUGAUUUUGAGAUGUUGGUGCUUCAGGAUUGUACAAGCUUGGUGGACAUUCACCCUUCUCUUGGAUUUCUGAAGAAACUCCACCAAUUAAAUAUGAGAAAUUGCAUGUCUGUUGAGAGCCUUCCAUCCUUCAAUAGAAAUUGGGUCUCUCUCUCAAACUUUUUUUUCUUUCUUUUACAAAGAGAUAUGCACAUACAUUACUCAUUUAUGCAUUCAUGACAUGUUUGAUUCCUAUUUGCAGGACUGGUCUGUGGAACCUCCUUUCGGUUGUUUUUUCUAUGGAAAUGAAAUCUCCAAGGGCAAAUGGUUCCAAAAUUUCAACGAGGGCAGCACUGCAGAAAUCCAACUACCUCUGAAUUUGUUUGAUAAUGCUACUUGGUUGGGAAUUGCUGUAUGUGCUUUUUGAGAUCCCAUGGACAUUCAGACAGCAAUCUUGACCCUCCUGAUUACAGUACAAUUUUAGGUGUUAUCUGGACUCCGAUCCUGCUUCCAGCUUAUGCUCAUUUGAUGUCAAAUUUCAGCAACUUGUCAGGACAGUAGAACCAUGGGAAUUUGUAUCCGAUUUCACUUGGUUCUCAUAUAUACCGCACAAUGGUGUGUUUUUUAAGUUCUGGAGGCCCUGCAAGCACUAGAAAUUCUGCCUGCUGAAUUUGGUACGGGUAUGUCCCUAGAACUUCAGCACGUCAAGCCAUUGUCAGAAGAACAUCAUCGAGAUUUGGGUUGUGUAUUGUGUUCCAGGACGACAUACAAGGGUCUGCUGAUACUAUUAUCCAGUGCAUGCAGAGGGAUAAUUCUCUUGAAUCUUACGAUAAGUUGGUGGUAGAAGAAUGGGUAAAGUUGAUACGAUUGGAAGGUGCCCAUUUAGAGAGAAUGACAGAAUGGGAUUCCAGAACCCCACGGGAAAGAUACUCUGAAUUGCACUCACGAAAAUAGAGAAAUUGGGUCUCUCUCGUCUCCCAUACAUGCAUAAUUAUAAUCAUUCAUAUUACUAUUCCUCUUUUUUUGCCCUUUUCUUUAACAUUUGAACCUAUAUUUACAGAAAUGGUCUGACCCUGUUUAUUGUGUCUUCAAAAGUGUUGAAAUCUCCAAGUUGAAAUGGUUUGUGCCUUUUAUCAACCAAGGGCAACUCUGCAUGUUAUCAGUUGUCCCGCAAGGCUGUGACCAAUAUCCUGAUUCAGAGGAUGUUAUGCUUAAUCACUGUCUGGACUCUUAUGCUGCUUGGCAUGCCAUAUUUGAUUUUCAGACGCAUGGAAGUUUUAGGAUACCCGAGUCAGGGGAAUACUAUGCGACUAGCUUCCUUUAUAUACCGCGCACUGAAGUUCUUACUUCUUAGUAAGAUGUGGAGGAAAUGCAAAUUGGCCAGGAUGUUGUUCUGUAGCCCAAGCUCAGCAGGUAGUGCAUAGUUGUGGUCUGUCUACUAUUUAAGGAGGACAUUGAACAUCUAGUUGAAACACUCGCCUUCCCGCAUUACCUUGAACAUCCACCAUGAUCGAAAAUGGUAACCUGUGAUAUUCAAAAAAAGAAGAAGAUGGUAACCUGUGAGCAGCCUUUUGGGUUUUGAUUAAGGCCAAGUUUGAGAUUGAUGUGUUGUGAGAAUAAUCACUUCUCAUAUUGGUUGAGAAGCUUCUUCUACCGAGAGAGAAAGUCUUCCGACCACAACCGUAUCCCCUCUUCAAAGUGCCUUUCUCCUUCAUGCAUUGGUUGACGGAGUCAAAAUUCACGGCUGACACAGCCGUUUCUGGUGUUUAAAAACUCUGGGCAGACUACUCAUCUUCUUCAUUCCAGGGUGACGUGGGGAAUCUCAGUAGCCCAAAUUGAGGUUUUGCAUGCUUCAAAAAAUGAUGGCCUCCUACCCAGUCCGGCUUCUCCUCUUCUCUUCCAUUUGCCCUCUGGUUUUCUUCUCUGCUUUGUUUCUCUUCAGCUUUAUCUCUUCCGGGUUGUACCUGUUCUUCUUCUUCUCCACUGUUUCUAUUUGCUGCUGCCUUUUGGCUUUCACUCUUUCCCAUAAACAGACACCCGCAACACCAGACACUUCUGCUUCAGCUACCACCAACACAGAAGUGAUUCCUUCUUCUUCUUCGUCGUCUUCUUCUCCACCAUCCUGUAAACUCACCUACGAUGUGUUCCUGAGUUUCAGAGGUGAAGAUACCCGCAAGAAUUUCACGGACCAUCUCUACACUGCUCUCUUGCAGAAAGGGAUACACACGUUUCGAGAC
rnacentral:lncRNA from 1 species